CAGCCGUAAACUAUGCGCGUUAGGUGUAUCGGUGACCACGAGUUACCGAGGUGCCGAAGGGAAACCGUGAAACGUGCCGCCUGGGAAGUACGGUCGCAAGGCUGAAACUUAAAGGAAUUGGCGGGGGGAGCACAACAACGGGUGGAGCCUGCGGUUUAAUUGGGACUCAACGCCGGACAACUCACCGGGAACGACAGCAAUAUGUAGGCCAGGCUGAAGACCUUGCCUGAAUCGCUGAGAGGAGGUGCAUGGCGUCAGUGACU
rnacentral:rRNA from 1 species